UACCAGCACCCCGAGUGGUCGGGACGUUUUAUUGGGCCUAAAGCAUCCGUAGCCGGUUCUACAAGUCUUCCGUUAAAUCCAACUGCUUAACAGGCGGGCUGCGGAAGAUACUAUAGAGCUAGGAGGCGGGAGAGGCAAGCGGUACUCGAUGGGUAGGGGUAAAAUCCGUUGAUCCAUUGAAGACCACCAGUGGCGAAGGCGGCUUGCCAGAACGCGCUCGACGGUGAGGGAUGAAAGCUGGGGGGAGCAAACCGG
rnacentral:rRNA from 1 species